AACGAACGCUGGCGGCAUGCCUAACACAUGCAAGUCGAACGAACCCUUCGGGGUUAGUGGCGCACGGGUGCGUAACGCGUGGGAAUCUGCCCUUUGCUUCGGAAUAACAGUUAGAAAUGACUGCUAAUACCGGAUGAUGUCUUCGGACCAAAGAUUUAUCGGCAAGGGAUGAGCCCGCGUAGGAUUAGGUAGUUGGUGGGGUAAAGGCCUACCAAGCCGACGAUCCCUAGCUGGUCUGAGAGGAUGAUCAGCCACACUGGGACUGAGACACGGCCCAGACUCCUACGGGAGGCAGCAGUGGGGAAUAUUGGACAAUGGGCGCAAGCCUGAUCCAGCAAUGCCGCGUGAGUGAUGAAGGCCUUCGGGUCGUAAAGCUCUUUUACCAGGGAUGAUAAUGACAGUACCUGGAGAAUAAGCUCCGGCUAACUCCGUGCCAGCCGCCGCCGUAAUAC
rnacentral:rRNA from 1 species